rnacentral:rRNA from 1 species
GAUGAACGCUGGCGGCGUGCCUAAUACAUGCAAGUCGAGCGAACAGACGAGGAGCUUGCUCCUCUGACGUUAGCGGCGGACGGGUGAGUAACACGUGGAUAACCUACCUAUAAGACUGGGAUAACUUCGGGAAACCGGAGCUAAUACCGGAUAAUAUAUUGAACCGCAUGGUUCAAUAGUGAAAGACGGUUGUGCUGUGACUUAUAGAUGGAUCCGCGCCGCAUUAGCUAGUUGGUAAGGUAACGGCUUACCAAGGCGACGAUGCGUAGCCGACCUGAGAGGGUGAUCGGCCACACUGGAACUGAGACACGGUCCCGACUCCUACGGGAGGCAGCAGUAGGGAAUCUUCCGCAAUGGGCGAAAGCCUGACGUAGCAACGCCGCGUGAGUGCUGAAGGUCUUCGGAUCGUAAAACUCUGUUAUUAGGGAAGACCAAAUGUGUAAGUACCUAUGCACGUCUUGACGGUACCUAAUCAGAAAGCCACGGCUAACUACGUG